AUUCCUACGGGAGGCAGCAGUGGGGAAUCUUGGACAAUGGGCGCAAGCCUGAUCCAGCCAUGCCGCGUGAGUGAUGAAGGCCUUAGGGUCGUAAAGCUCUUUCGCCAGGGAUGAUAAUGACAGUACCUGGUAAAGAAACCCCGGCUAACUCUGUGCCAGCAGCCGCGGUAAUACGGAGGGGGUUAGCGUUGUUCGGAAUUACUGGGCGUAAAGCGCGCGUAGGCGGAUCAGAAAGUUGGGGGUGAAAUCCCGGGGCUCAACCCCGGAACUGCCUCCAAAACUCCUGGUCUUGAGUUCGAGAGAGGUGAGUGGAAUUCCGAGUGUAGAGGUGAAAUUCGUAGAUAUUCGGAGGAACACCAGUGGCGAAGGCGGCUCACUGGCUCGAUACUGACGCUGAGGUGCGAAAGUGUGGGGAGCAAACAGGGUUAGAUACCCUGGUAGUCCACACCGUAAACGAUGAAUGCCAGUCGUCGGCAAGCAUGCUUGUCGGUGACACACCUAACGGAUUAAGCAUUCCGCCUGGGGAGUACGGUCGCAAGAUUAAAACUCAAAUGAAUUGACGGAAU
rnacentral:rRNA from 1 species